UCUCUCUCUCAAAUCUCUCUGCUUCCGUCGCACUCGAACUCCUUCUGUCGCUCUUCUCUUUCUAAAAUCCAUCUAAAAAAAUGUAUAAUGGGUAUUGUUUCUCUCUGCAGGUUACUCGAAGAAGUCUGUGAGGGGUCAAUAGGAGAAGGUGGAUUGCGUUUCAAAGUGCAAAAAAUACAGGGCAUGCCUCUUUAUGCGUUUCCAAUCUUCCAAAAAUCGUGUUCGUGGAGGCGAUUUGAGACGGAUUUGAAGCUCGGCUACAGAGAUUUUAUUCAAUUUGGUGGAUUUGGAAAUUUGUACCAAUUUGGUUUCGAUUGGAAUUUCUGAGCUCAUCUAAUCCAACGUUUCCAGGUGAGAAAGUUGCUUAAAUUUCGAUUUUUAUUAAACUCAGGUGAGCUUCUUCAGUUUUUUAGAUUGAUUUGAAGGAAUUUCUUGCCCAGAAAAGCUAGGGUUUCCUGGUAAGUUUUUCAAGUCUUUCAUCUUGGGGGUUUUGUUUUGUUCAAAUAUGGGGUUUUGUGAUUUUGGAUUUACAAAUGGAUUGAAAUUUCGAUUUCACCUCCCACUCGGAACCUGAUACUCAGUCACCUUUAGAGCAGCUUCCUUCUCUCUUUUUCUCCAACCAUGGUUGCUGAUCCACAGGGCAUCAAGGUUUUUCAGAUUUGAUGGCGUUUGUUUCUGUGCUCAAGCAAAAUCACCGCCACCACCCAACAAACCCAUGAGCUGGAAUUUCAAUUACUGUGCAUGAAGGGAGUUCAGACGAGAACAGUGUUUUCAUGUUCUCCCCAACAUCAACAAGCGCUUUGUUUGUGCUGAGGAAGCACUACUCAACCCUUCUCUACCAUUAUGAACAGGAAACGGUUCUCAACUUUUUAAACCUAUGUAUAUCUAAUGGGAAGACAAAAAAAUAUUAAAAAAAAUGUGAUUAAAACCGGGCCACAUGACUUGUGGCACAACGAACAAUAAAAAUUUAUACCAACCCACGUGUAGUCAUCGCCACAAGUGAAUCUGAAGAAAUUUAAGAAGUUGAUCCAAGAGCAUGUGAUGAGGUUCCGAUCAAGUUAUUUAAAAAAAAAAAAAAUCACCUCAUACUCAGGCAAAGCCACACAACAGCACUGGAAACACUGAUUAGGUUGCUUUAUCAAAUGACAACAAGAGCUGAAGACACCUUUCACUACUCUGAUCAAGAAUGUUUACCGUGUUUUGUUUAUCUAUAUUAAAUCAUGUUUAACAUGUUUAAAAACCUGUACAUAUCUUGUUUUGCCCAAAACUCAACAAUAUUUUUUGCAUCCCCAUACAACAUCUCCUCAUUUUUUUUGUAUGCAUAAGCUGGAACACAGUAUAUUAGAUGGCGUUAUUAGAAGAAAUUCAGUUAUUAUAAAGUUUUAUCUUUCUUCCAGGAAUUUCUAUUUUUUGUAACUGAAUGUAAUCCUCCUGGAAUUUUUCAAGAUAUAGCAAUUCCUGGAAGAAAGAUACAAACAAACAUUAUAUAUGUGUUUUGUUUGGCAAUUACAAUCACUCACAUGAAAAUCCAAUUGAAUUUGUUCUGGUCUCCAAGAAUUUUUCUUUCUUUGAUUAUUGAUUAAUUUAUGUGGCGAGAGUUUAGAUUUUGCUUUUCUGCCCAUGUAUAUUUGAUUUGAAAUGGAUAGUUCAAUUUGCUGUAUAUAAACUAGUAAUCAAAAAGCUCCAAGGAGAGGUAAAUUAGAAACAAUGGUGGAAGAGUGAUGGAGUUGAGGAGUUGAUAGUUUACAGGGUUUACUUGAAUUUCUGUAUGAUGUCCAUGGUAUUGAUAGAUCACUGAGAUUGACUGACUGGUUGAUUAAUCACUAAUUUGAAAUAUAUAAAAUGUAACUUUUCUUUAGUUCCUUUUCGUUUUGUAUUUUCAUUGGAUUCUAAAAAUGAAACGAAUCCAAUCAGCUACUUAGCCUUUGAAUAUUUUUACAUCUGAAUGCUUACUUUAAAUAUGUUAAUUUGUCCCCGUUUCUAUAAAAUUUUAUGCAAUGUGAACAAUGUGGGUUAUUCUCAAUCUUCAGAUGGUGAUUAUUUGGCAACUUCUGAAAACAUGGCUACUCAGCCUCUGAAAUACAGAGCUGAGGAUGAGAGCAACCAGAUGAGCUAGAAUUGGGUUUGUAUCAUUCUAAAUUAUUCGUUUGGUUACCGAUAGAAAAUAUGGUUGCCAAGUCCGGUUUUUUAUUUUCAUUAUCUUAAACAUUUUCCUUUGAUAGCACUUUGUUUUGAUUUGUGAACGAACUAUAUACUUUAUAUUUAUCUUAGGUCACAGUGUAAAUGUUUAACGAUUGAAUUUGUGAGAUGGUGUAGCAGUUUUUUCAAAAACUUGCUAUUCCAAUCAGAUGCUCAAAUAUUAUGUUUUCUA